ACGGGAGCCAUCUUCUCUUCCUACACCCACAAAGGCGAGGCCCUGCUGCUUGGGCACCGCUAGCACCGCCUUCAUCCAACUAACCGACGAUUGCUGGACUUUUGGCCACUUUCCCCUGAACAAACUGCUGCACUGGAUGAAGUUUUGAGCUCUGCCCAUACAUUUCACCAGGACUGAGAUCAAAACUUGGUCAAUUUUGUGAAGUGCACCAAUCCCUCCUACAGACAGAAAGUUUGCUGUGGGAGGUGAUCACUGAAUGG